CUUCAGAAAGCCUGGCUGCAGUCGGCAAAGAAAGAGGUGGGGAGAGAGGACAGACCUGCGGACGACCUGCGGAGGGCUGGGAGACUCCGGAUUAGUCUGCAGUCAGACUAAACUAACAUCACAAGCAAGAUAAGCAUCUUGCUGGCCCUGCCCAGCCACCUUUUGUGUUACGGAGGCCUCUCCUCCUCCCCCAGCAGUGUUUCAUCAUGGAGCCACCGCCAGUGGCACAUAAAUAGAGGUCCCGGGCAGGCUACAGGGCCAAGACCAGAGGCGUCGCUCAGGGUCCUGCAGCGCACUCCAGCACCUGUCCCGCCUGGCCCGGACACCCUGCAGAAGCAUGGCUCUCGGUGGUGUGUUUCGUCUGUCGCUCGCCUGCCUCCUGCUCUGCAGCGCUGCCCCGACACCCACGUGCGACCCCAGCGCCUGCACCCCAUGCCCUGAGAAGGACCUGGAGGGGCCGACCACUGCAGCUGCUGGGGGCUGCUGUCCUCCUUGCCCCCCACCCUGCACCUGUCCCCCCUACCUGGAGAGCGACUGUGAGAUUCAAGGCUUCACCAGCGGCCGCGUUCCCGCCGGCCGCUCCUUCUACAUCGACUUUGCCCGCAAGCUCUGCACCUGUGGCCCCAGUGGGGACAUCAGCUGUGCCCCUCAGUGCUCCCCUGUACCCCCCACCUGCCAGGCUGUGGGCAGCCCUGUGGCCGACGGCUGCCCCCGCUGCGUCUGCUAUGAUGAGGAGGAGAUGGCGGUGCCUGCUGGCACUGUCACCACCCGGGGCACCCAGAUUUGCACCUGUCCCCCUGAGGGGGGCCAGCUGCAGUGCAGCGGCAGAGAGAGCCAGGAGUGAACCUGUCCCCUCUGCCGGCUGAGGGCAGGGGGACAGGGGAGCCCUGCUGGCAGCAGAAGGCUUUCUGCACCUUGGGGCAUCCUUACUGAAAAGUGUUAAAUGCUUCACACUGUCCCAGAGGACCCGGCAAUGAACAUGGCCAUGCCACAGAGCACUGGAGAGGUGCUGCAUUGUAUGUCAUUUAUAUGCCAGGGCAAAGUGUCUAUAGGGGGUGAGCUUUCUCCGUUGUAAAGUUUGUUCUAUGGUGUGGGCUAUGAGAGCUUAGAUUGUUUGUUGCUAGCACCUAACUGGAACAAACACAGUUAUUUAUUUAUUUGUAAGAUGAUUUGUGCUUUUCUAUGUGUUUAUGUUUAUAUAGUGUAUAGACAGCACAGCCUUAAGUCAACUUGUUGGAUAAACUUCCUCCUAGGAUCCAGGUUUUCGCUUCCUGUAAUUCCAUCAAAUUCAAAGUGGUGGGACCAAAAUCAGAAAGCCGACCGACAUCCCCAUCUCCAGGCUUUUUUGAGCUUGGGGGAGUACGUGUGUUAACACAUGGCUGUGUUCUUAGGAGGAGGCAAACCCCUCUCAUGCCUCCCUCCUCCUGAGCAAAGCCUUGAAGACCCGCAUAAAAGAUGUUGGCAGUCCAGGGUCGAUCCCUCACAGCCACCUCGAUGAAGCAGUUAUCCAGGGCUGCCCCAUUGUCUGUCCCAGUUCAGCAGGAAUACCCCAAAUUGUGUGUCACUAACUGUGUCCUCCCCACUGACGCCCUCCUCUUACUGCUGCUGGAGAUACAGCAAAUGGCAGAACUGUAUCUUCUGAAUGCUUGGGCAUAUAUAAAUACAUACACAUAUAUAUGUACAGGAAGACUGUAAUAAAAAACACAGCUUCAUCAGGCUGAGAAGUUAACAAGUGUUAAUUGUGAUCCUUCAAGGCAUUGCAUAAAAUCAAUUUUACCAAUAAACUUUUGAAAACUUUACUGACAAGCACACAUA